UACAGAGGGUGCAAGCGUUGUCCGGAAUUAUUGGGCGUAAAGAGCUUGUAGGCGGUUUGUCGCGUCUGCUGUGAAAUUUCGGGGCUCAACCCCGAACUUGCAGUGGGUACGGGCAGACUAGAGUGUGGUAGGGGAGACUGGAAUUCCUGGUGUAGCGGUGGAAUGCGCAGAUAUCAGGAGGAACACCGGUGGCGAAGGCGGGACUCUGGGCCGAUACUGACGCUGAGGAGCGAAAGCGUGGGGAGCAAACAGG
rnacentral:rRNA from 1 species